GGAUGAACAUGUUAACCCUUUCCUUGCCACACCCAAUUAAGCUCCCAACUGUUGGUUCCUGCUCUUCAGCUCCAUCCAAGGAGGUGAAUACUGGCUGUAUAACAACCUGGCUAUAACCACCAUGCCAAAUUCUGCUGUGCUAUUGGUUUGUUAGAUAUAGGAAGGUGUUGACAAGAGCAAAAAUGUUGCUUGAUUGUUGAGAAAAUGCCUCUGUGAGAGGUUUUAAUGGCUUCUUCCACUCACAUGAAGAUAAUAAAUACAGAAGUGAUAGAAUGGCUGGGAGAAGCUAAAGGAAUACCACAGAUGAAACUAAAAGGUACUAUAAAUAUUUUUUAUUUGCAUCAGUAUUCAGAUAAUAUUAACUGAAAACAGAGUCUCAUUAUCAGGUGCAAUUUACCAUCCAUAGUAAAAGAGAAUUUCUGUCCAA
rnacentral:lncRNA from 1 species